rnacentral:rRNA from 1 species
CCAUGAGUAAAGUGGCGCACGGGUGAGUAACACGUGAUUAACCUACCCUGGAGUGGGGGAUAACUGAGGGAAACCUUAGCUAAUACCGCAUAAUACCUACGGGUCAAAGGAGCAAUUCGUUCUAGGAGGGGGUCGCGGCAGAUUAGCUAGUUGGCGGGGUAAUGGCCCACCAAGGCAGUGAUCUGUAUCCGGCCUGAGAGGGCGCACGGACACACUGGAACUGAAACACGGUCCAG